rnacentral:rRNA from 1 species
GGCUCAGAAUCAACGCUGGCGGCGCGCCUAACACAUGCAAGUCGAACGGGAAAGUGGAGCAAUCCAUGAGUAUAGUGGCGUACGGGUGAGUAACACGUGGGUAAUCUACCUCUUAGUGGGGAAUAACCCUGGGAAACCGGGGCUAAUACCGCAUAAGCCUGAGAAGGGAAAGCAGCAAUGCGCUGAGAGAGGAGCCCGCGGCCGAUUAGCUAGUUGGUGAGGUAAGAGCCCACCAAGGCAGAGAUCGGUAGCCGGCCUGAGAGGGCACACGGCCACACUGGCACUGAAACACGGGCCAGACUCCUACGGGAGGCAGCAGUGGGGAAUCUUGCACAAUGGGGGAAACCCUGAUGCAGCGACGCCGCGUGAGCGAUGAAGCCCUUCGGGGUGUAAAGCUCUUUCGUCAGGGACGAUUAAGACGGUACCUGGAGAAGCAGCUGCGGCUAACUACGUGCCAGCAGCCGCGGUAAUACGUAGGCAGCAAGCGUUGUUCGGAGUUACUGGGCGUAAAGGGUGUGUAGGCGGUUCUUUAAGUUUGGUGUGAAAUCUCCCGGCUCAACUGGGAGGGUGCGCCGAAUACUGAGGGACUAGAGUACGGGAGAGGAAAGUGGAAUUCCUGGUGUAGCGGUGAAAUGCGUAGAUAUCAGGAGGAACACCGGUGGUGUAGACGGCUUUCUGGACCGACACUGACGCUGAGACACGAAAGUGUGGGUAGCAAACAGGAUUAGAUACCCUGGUAGUCCACGCCCUAAACGAUGCAUAUUUGGUGUGGGCAGUUCAUUCUGUCCGUGCCGGAGCUAACGCGUUAAAUAUGCCGCCUGGGGAGUACAGUCGCAAGGCUGAAACU